rnacentral:rRNA from 1 species
GAUCAUGGCUCAGGAUGAACGCUAGCGGCAGGCUUAACACAUGCAAGUCGAGGGGUAUAGUUCUUCGGAACUAGAGACCGGCGCACGGGUGCGUAACGCGUAUGCAAUCUACCUUUUACAGAGGGAUAGCCCAGAGAAAUUUGGAUUAAUGCCCCAUAGUAUAGUUUUUUCGCAUGAAGAGAUUAUUAAAGUACCAACGGUAAAAGAUGAGCAUGCGUCCCAUUAGCUAGAUGGUAAGGUAACGGCUUACCAUGGCGACGAUGGGUAGGGGUCCUGAGAGGGAGAUCCCCCACACUGGUACUGAGACACGGACCAGACUCCUACGGGAGGCAGCAGUGAGGAAUAUUGGUCAAUGGACGCAAGUCUGAACCAGCCAUGCCGCGUGCAGGAUGACGGUCCUAUGGAUUGUAAACUGCUUUUGUACGAGAAGAAACACUCCUACGUGUAGGAGCUUGACGGUAUCGUAAGAAUAAGGAUCGGCUAACUCCGUG